rnacentral:rRNA from 1 species
CCUACGGGGGACAGCAGUGAGGAAUAUUGGUCAAUGGACGAGAGUCUGAACCAGCCAAGUAGCGUGAAGGAUGACUGCUCUAUGGGCUGUAAACUCUUUCUAUAUGGGAAUAAAUUGUUCUACGUGUGGGAUUUUGUAUGUACCAUAUGAAUAAGGAUCGGCUAACUCCGUGCCAGCAGCCGCGGUAAUACGGAGGAGCCGAGCGUUAUCCGGAUUUAUUGGGUUUAACGGGCGCGUAGGUGGAUUGUUAAGUCAGUCGUGAAAGUUUGGGGCUCAACCGUAAAAUUGCAGUUGAAACUGGCAGGCUGGAGUACAGGAGAGGUGGGCGGAAUUCGUGGUGUAGCGGUGAAAUGCUUAGAUAUCACGAAGAACUCCGAUUGCGAAGGCAGCUCGCUGGACUGCAACUGACACUGAGGCUCGAAGGUGUGGGUAUCAAACAGGAUUAGAUACCCGAGUAGUC